rnacentral:rRNA from 1 species
GACGAACGCUGGCGGCGUGCUUAACACAUGCAAGUCGAACGGAAACGCCCUGCUUGCAGGGUACUCGAGUGGCGAACGGGUGAGUAACACGUGGGUGAUCUGCCCUGCACUUCGGGAUAAGCCUGGGAAACUGGGUCUAAUACCGGAUAGGAGCCAUUUUUAGUGUGAUGGUUGGAAAGUUUUUUCGGUGUAGGAUGAGCUCGCGGCCUAUCAGCUUGUUGGUGGGGUAAUGGCCUACCAAGGCGGCGACGGGUAGCCGGCCUGAGAGGGUGGACGGCCACAUUGGGACUGAGAUACGGCCCAGACUCCUACGGGAGGCAGCAGUGGGGAAUAUUGCACAAUGGGCGCAAGCCUGAUGCAGCGACGCCGCGUGGGGGAUGACGGCCUUCGGGUUGUAAACUCCUUUCGCUAGGGACGAAGCUUUUUGUGACGGUACCUAGAGAAGAAGCACCGGCUAACUACGUG